rnacentral:rRNA from 1 species
UGUGAGGGAUGAAGCCUCGGGGUAAGUAACCUCUUUUCUCAAGGAAGAAGAUCUGACGGUACUUGAGGAAUAAGCCACGGCUAAUUCCGUGCCAGCAGCCGCGGUAAUACGGGAGUGGCAAGCGUUAUCCGGAAUUAUUGGGCGUAAAGCGUCCGCAGGCGGCCGUACAAGUCUGUCGUUAAAGCGUGGAGCUUAACUCCAUUUAAGCGAUGGAAACUGUAAGGCUAGAGUGUGGUAGGGGCAGAGGGAAUUCCCGGUGUAGCGGUGAAAUGCGUAGAUAUCGGGAAGAACACCAGUGGCGAAGGCGCUCUGCUGGGCCAUAACUGACGCUCAUGGACGAAAGCCAGGGGAGCGAAAGGGAUUAGAUACCCCUGUAGUCCUGGCCGUAAACGAUGAACACUAGGUGUCGGGGGAAUCGACCCCCUCGGUGUCGUAGCCAACGCGUUAAGUGUUCCGCCUGCGGAGUACGCACGCAAGUGUGAAACUCAAAGGAAUUGACGGGGGCCCGCACAAACGGUGGAGUAUGUGGUACAAUUCGAUGCAACGCGAAGAACCUUACCAGGGUUUGACAUCCUGCGAAUCCC